CCAUUAAUAACCCCUAAGACAUUAAUCAUUAAACAACAAACCAUUUUUCCUCCCAAGUAUGGGCGACAGAAAAGGAACUCCUGGAGCUAUAGAAAAAGUACCGCAAGGGAAUGCUGAAAAAGAAAUGAAAUAAAUUAGUAAAGUUAAAAAAAGCAGAGAUUUAUACUCGUACCUUUUGCAUCAUGACUUAGUUAGUAAGCACCAAGCAAAAAGAACUUUAGUUUGACUUCCCGAAACUAGGUGAGCUACUCCAAGACAGCCUAAAAGCAGGGCUAACCCGUCUCUGUGGCAAAAGAGUGGGACGAGCUUAGAGUAGAGGUGACAGACCUAUCGAACCUAGUUAUAGCUGGUUGCCUGAGAAAUGAAUAGAAGUUCAGCUUUUUGUUUUCUUUUUUCAAACUCUCUUAACUACAGCUGUUUCAAAGGAACCAAAAAAGUUAAUUAAAGGGGGUACAGCCCCUUUAAACAAGACACAACUUCACCAGAAGGGUGUAGAUCAUAAUUAUUAAGACAGAAUGUUUUAGUGGGCCUGAAAGCAGCCACCUAUAAGAAAGCGUUAAAGCUCCUUCAUACUGCCACCCCCAAUUCAGAUAUCAUAUCCAAACCCGCUAGUUUUAUCAGGCCGUCCCAUGCUCACAUGGGAGCGAUUAUGCUAAGAUGAGUAAUAAGAAAACCAGAUUUUCUCCUUGCACGCGUGUAAAUCGAAACGGACCCCCCCACCGAAUCUUAAACGGCCCCAAAAAGAGGGCAAUGGCCCACAACACCAAUAACAAGAAAAACACCUAAAUACUAACCGUUAACCCCACACUGGCGUGCCCACAAGGAAAGACUAAGAGAAAAAGAAGGAACUCGGCAAAUACAAGCCUCGCCUGUUUACCAAAAACAUCGCCUCUUGCAAAUAAAGAAUAAGAGGUCC
rnacentral:rRNA from 1 species